UUGAUAUGGAACUAAGUGCUGCCAAGAGAAAGAGUUGUGUCUACACACUCCCCAAUAAGCUUCUUCAGAGGGUUAUCUCCACCUAAUGCUCACUGACAUGGAACUAAGCUUUACAGCCCCAAGAACUGUAUUGGUGAAACAAAAGUCUGGAAAGAUAAAUACCAAACUUAUACCAGUAGUUAACUCUAGGGUGUGUGUGUGUGUGUGUGUGUGUGUGUCUGUGUGUUUAUGAGGGGGUGAGACAUUCCUAUUUUACUUCCAGUAUUGAUACAGUGCUUGGCUCUGUUGUGAUGAAGAUUGUUUUCAGAUAUUUUACGUGAAAAAAAUUAAUAAAAUAAGAAAAAAGAAAGGCACCAAAUGGGAUUGUUCUGUGGAAUACACAAUAUUAUAGAUGUGUGAAGAAGGACCUGCACUUCCUACACAUGAAAGUAGUUAUGAUUUAUAGAGCCCUGAUUUGGUCCCAGGUGCUGUGUUACAAGUGCUAAGCUACUGACUGAGUCAUGCAGAUGACUCCACAAGGUAAGCAUUAUUCACCCCAUUUGCAGAAGAGGGGGGAUAACAGGGGCGGCAGCCCGAGAGGGUCCCCUUCUCCCCAGAGGGGGUAGGCAGCAGGCUCACAGCUGCCCUCUCCCAACAUUAAGACAAAUUUAUAGGAGUGCCAGCAAGGCGUAAAACACACGAAGAUAGGCUGUUCCUCACUCCAGCCUGGCUAUUCAACCCCCUCACUCCCUCUCCAAUUCUGCUUCCUCACCUGCUUCCCGUAGCUGAAGACAGAAGAAUGCCUUAAAGACCCUUCAGUCACCGACAGAACAAGCCUGGCCUGGAGCCGCUCUCUUGGUGGCCACGCCCACCGCAGCCCCAGGACCCCUGGAUCCUGUGCAGGGGGCUGUGUGCCCUUCCCUGGCUCGGCUUCUCCAGAUGUUCCUUGUGGCUCUCCCUCCCCUUCCUUGCACCUCACUGGUGGCAAAGAGCCAAAGCCCCCGCACACAGUCAAGUUGGCAACCCAACUACGUGGGAUUCCUAUGGCUGCAGAUGGCCUGAGACGACUCUCAACCUUGACAGGAUCUAGGGCUGGGGGCUUGAGAUAGUCAACCAACGCCCAGCCCCUGGACGGGGUUAGAGUCACUCCUCCACCUCGUGGUCAUUGUUGGAACUACGCCCUGGGAAAGCCUGUCCUGAGAGGCACUUACUCCAAGGGAUGAUGGAGGAGGUUUGAUGAUGAUGGUGAUGGUGAUGAUGUGAUGAUGAUGGUGAUGAUGUGAUGAUAAUGAUGA
rnacentral:lncRNA from 1 species